GUUAUUAGAACAAAACAAGAAUAAAAACAAUUUAAUGAAUAGUGUUUAUAAAAAAGUUAUAAUUCCUGGUGCAUUUUUUGAAAAUAAUAAUUUUUGUCCUAUAUUUAUGAAAUUAUUACAGUUAGAUAUAUGCAAUGUAUGCAAUGAGAAUAAUAUAAAAUUUAAUGCACAGUUAAUUGAUUUUUUAAAAUAUAUGAAUAGUUUAAAUGAUAAUAAAGUGAUAAAUAAUACUACUAAUAAUGAAAUAGUAAAAAAUAAAGAAAAUGAAGUGGGACAAAUGAAUGAAGAAGUAGCUAAUAAUUCAUAUAAAGAAGAUUUAAGUUAUUUCCAAAAUCAAAGCUCUUUAUACAAAUUAUCACAAUAUUGUAUAGAAAAAAAAAUAAUAAUAAAUAAAGAAGUUAAGUCAUUUGAUAGUAUUUAUAUUUAUAGUGAAAAAAAUGGCCAGAAUGGGAAUGAAAAAAGUGAUCAGAGUGGAAAUGAAAAAAGUGGCCAGAGUGGAAAUGAAAAAAGUGAUCAGAGUGGAAAUGAAAAAAGUGAUCAGAGUGGAAAUGAAAAAAGUGGCCAGAGUGAGAACGAAGAAAAUAGCCAAAUUGAAAAAUAUAAAACCUGUUCUAACAUUUUUUCUAUGCACAAUAUUGAAGAAUAUACAUAUGACAAUGUUAUAAAAGAGAAAAUUAAUACAAGUAAGAAACCACUUAAUAAUGUGAUUGGAGUAAAUACUUUUAAUAAACUUAACUAUAUUCAUGCAGAAAUCAACGAUAAAAAACAUAAUUUAUGUAUUAAAGAAAAAUCUCCCUCUACUCCUUGUGUUAUAAUACUAGAUGAUGAUGAUGAUGAUGGUGUGGCAUCAUAUGAUAAUAACACAUAUAAAGAAAAAAAAACUCAAAAUACUAAUACAAAUUCAGCCUUUUCAGUGUUAAAUGAUUACUAUUUUACUCCCAAAUUAAACUAUUCUAUUUAUGAUAAAAAGGGAAAAGAUAGCAAUAAUUUUCAUGCUAAUGUAAAUAUAAAAAGUAACAAUUUAUAUGAAGAAGAAAAAAGCAAAAUGGAUAGGAGCCCGUUAGAUUGUGUUGAAUAUGUUACACAAAAAAAGGGUACUAUUUUGCAUGAAGUUGGUACAGGUAUAAAAGAUGCAAAAGGAGUAAAAAGUGUAGAAAAAGGUAAAAAUGUAGAAAAAGGUAAAAAUGUAGAAAAAGAAAAAAAUGUAGAAAAAGGAAAAAAUGUAGANNNNNNNNNNAAAAAUGUAGAAAAAGAAAAAAAUGUAGAAAAAGGAAAAAAUGUAGAAAAAGGAAAAAAUGUAGAAAAAGGAAAAGAUGCAGAAAAAGGAAAAGAUGCAGAAAAAGGAAAAGAUACAGAAGAAAAAAUAAAAGAACCACUUUCAAUAUUAAAUAUUGAUAUAAAUAAAACACAUAGUACAGUAUUAGAAGGAUUGAUGGAUUUUUUUGGUCUUAAGUGUAAAAAUUUAUCCAGAAAAAUAUUAAUAAGUGAGUUAGUAAAAAUACAAAACUAUUUAAACGAAGUGCUUACCAAUCACAUGGUAAAUAACACAACAGAAGAAAAAGGAGGAGUUUUAAGUUUCAAUUUAAAUGUGAAUAAAAGUGAUUCGAUUGAAAACGAUAUGUUUAUAAAACAUAAUAAAGAUCAGAUCAAAUAUGAUUCUUAUAUAUACAUAAGCGAUGAUAAUAAUGGAAGUAAUAGUAACAAUAAUAAUAUAAUUGACAAUAGUAGCAAUAACAGUGACAGCAACAAAAAAAUUACAGAAAUCGAAAAUAAUAAUACAGUCAAAACAAAUAUAAAUAAAAAAAACAUAUCGUUAAAAAGUCCAGAAGAGAAUUUAUUUAUUGAUAUGGAUAAUUCUUUUGAAAAUAAUUCUGAUUAUUAUGAAAUAAAUAAUUAUUUUGAUAAUGACAAAAAUAAAUUACAAGAUGAAUAUAUACAUAAAAUGCAUGAAAAAAUUAAAACGUUGGAGUAUAAAACAUUUUAUGAAAGAAUUGAUGAAGCUAUAACUAUUAAUGAUGCCAUCUAUGAAAAUAUAAAUAAUGAAAAAAAAAUAGAAUAUAAUAUAUUAAAAAAACAUUUAAUAGAUUGUAAAUUAAAUAUUAAUAGGGAAAUUUUAGUAUCUUAUUGUAAGGAUAAAAAUAUAGAAAUAUUAUUUAAUAAAAAAAAAAAAAAAAACCAAAACGUUACGUAACUUUUUUUUUUUUUUUUUUUUUUUUUUUUUUAAAAAAAUAAAUUAAUUUUAUUUUUUUUUUUUUUCUUUUUA
ensembl:lncRNA